AACCUUACCUGGUCUUGACAUAGUAAGAACUUUCCAGAGAUGGAUUGGUGCCUUCGGGAACUUACAUACAGGUGCUGCAUGGCUGUCGUCAGCUCGUGUCGUGAGAUGUUGGGUUAAGUCCCGCAACGAGCGCAACCCUUUCCUAUUUGCCAGCGGGUUAAGCCGGGAACUUUAAGGAUACUGCCAGUGACAAACUGGAGGAAGGCGGGGACGACGUCAAGUCAUCAUGGCCCUUACGACCAGGGCUACACACGUGCUACAAUGGUCGGUACAAAGGGUUGCUACCUCGCGAGAGGAUGCUAAUCUCAAAAAGCCGAUCGUAGUCCGGAUUGGAGUCUGCAACUCGACUCCGUGAAGUCGGAAUCGCUAGUAAUCGCGGAUCAGAAUGCCGCGGUGAAUACGUUCCCGGGCCUUGUACACACCGCCCGUCACACCAUGGGAGUUUGUUGCACCAGAAGUAGGUAGUCUAACCGCAAGGAGGACGCUUACCACGGUGUGGCAGAUGACUGGGGUGAAGUCGUAACAAGGUAGGCGUAGAUGA
rnacentral:rRNA from 1 species